CUCCAAUGAGGACAGCUGUAUCUGGGUCACUCAGACACAUUGUAUGGCUCCAACGCUUUGAUGGGCAUGCUGAAACUAAUCACAGCCUCCAUGAACACAGUUUCUGUGCAAACAGAUGUGGCUUCAGAGACUGGAAUGAGGAUGUCCUACCUACCUCUCCGCAGACCUUCAGUACAAUCUUGCCAUACACUCCUCUCCGGCCUCUCUCUGCCGCCGCUCUGAUGAUGUCAUCGCUCCAGUCACCUUCCCAGAGUCCCUAUGUUCUGUGGCUGGACAUCCUCACCGACCACCACCUCGGCCGACAAUGUUGCGUCUUUGCACGACCAUUCUCCCAAACCGAAGACGACCAGCUGUUUGGGAAGAGGCAGCGGGAUGUGGACUUGGAAGCACCUUCUGUUGGAUUUGCUACAGACAUCCAGACAAUAAAUUUGAAGGCUUACAAAACAAACUUUUUUCAUUUUUUUUUCGAACAGGAAAUAUAGAGGAACAACAUGUCUGAUGUACAACAGAAUAUAAACAUAAUAUUUAAGGGUAUUAAAGAACAUGCCUAUUAUAAGGUCAGAAUAUAAAUUGGUGCUAGAGGGUUGUAAUCUUUCAAGGGCAGAUAUAAUUUGAUUGGCUUUAACAUUUAAACUCGACUUUUUUAACUCUUUAAGAUAUUAAUUGAAGGUAAUAUCUGGAAAUUAGGUUUUGUUGCAGAUGUUUGGAGGAGUAAAUAUGGCAUUUACCAUAAAUCUUAAAGAAAUAAACAACAAAUAAAAGG